rnacentral:rRNA from 1 species
GACGAACGCUGGCGGCGUGCUUAACACAUGCAAGUCGAGCGAGGCCCCUCCUUCGGGAGGGUGUCCUAGCGGCGAACGGGUGAGUAACACGUGGGCAACCUGCCCUCAGCUCUGGGAUAACUCCGGGAAACCGGGGCUAAUACCGGAUACGACCUCCACGGGCAUCUGCGGAGGUGGAAAGUUUUUCGGCUGGGGAUGGGCCCGCGGCCUAUCAGCUAGUUGGUGGGGUAGUGGCCCACCAAGGCGACGACGGGAAGCCGGCCUGAGAGGGCGACCGGCCACACUGGGACUGAGACACGGCCCAGACUCCUACGGGAGGCAGCAGUGGGGAAUAUUGCGCAAUGGGCGAAAGCCUGACGCAGCGACGCCGCGUGAGGGACGAAGGCCUUCGGGUUGUAAACCUCUUUCAGCAGGGACGAAGCGAAAGUGACGGUACCUGCAGAAGAAGCACCGGCCAACUACGUG